GUUGCAUGGUAGCAUAUAGCUUGAUAGCUCUUUUGGUAUGUGCAUGCAAUUUGGUGGCUGGGGUCGUGUAAUUUUCAUAUUGCAGGCUGGCUGGUAGCUGGAAGUAGCUUUAUUGGGAAUGUACAGGUGUAAAUCCUGCCAUUUCUGUUUCCUAAAUAUUAAAGCAUUCAUUACUCAUGCAAAAAAAACAUAGAAAUGUGGCGAACUACAGUUUUGCUUGUGGGGUAGAGUGCCCUUGCGCCAAAGCAUCACUACUUGUUACACUUGGGCAACUCAUUCGUUUGUGGACACCGAGGUUCGAGAGCAAGCACUCCUACUUCAAGGAGUGUGCCAGAAAACUUGUCUGAGAAGCACCGGUUACUCCAAUCUUACUUAUGCAGCGGCCAAUUGUUUCCACAUAGCAUUGAAGUUGUUGGUGUCAUGAAUUAAUUUGAGGAGCAAUUAUAUAACAACGUCAUUCAGGGAGCUGGACAGUCAAAAGGGUUCACAAAGCAAAGCAUUGCAGAGGUGUCUAAAAUGGUAUACAAAGUAACAACAUACACUGAAGGCCUUGUUGUAAUGGGAGAAAAUGAUGACGGAUACACAUUUGGAAAGAUCUCACUGAUUCUGGUCACAGAAUCACAGGUCUAUUUAAUCGUUGGCGUGUAUCACUCUGUGUCACUGGUUGAUCUCAGGGUUCAUUUUAUACCAGAUUCUCUGAUUAAUUAUGUGUGUGUUAAUGCAGAUAGUCUGAGUGAUUAUUACCCAUUACCAGUUUAUAAAGUGUUAGGUUUCUCUGUUGUUUCUUUGCAUCACUCAGUGAGUUCUCCUUAAACCAGUGUAGGCAUAGAGGGUCUUCAAGAUGCAAUAAACACCAAAUGCCCGAGUUGGAGACCGAGACGGUGAGAUCUUUGUCAGAGCAUCUGAGGGCAAAUGUUGGAGUGGAGAAUAUUAAAGACCUUGAAUAUGUUCAGCCCGGAGGACAUAAAAGACCAUUUGACGCCAAUAUAGUGCCGGGAAUUGCUUCAGUCCUUCAACCAAAGAGCUAAAAGACCAAGCUGAGGAGAGAGAUCCAGUGCCUGCUGAAUGAAAUCGACAUCAGAGGCAAUGACGAUCACUGCUGCCAUUCUUUUGUUGAUGACCCACUUCAAAGAGAAGGACGAAUCUCUGUUCCUCUUGGAAGAUGUCAUUGUAACUCAGGUUGAUGUCGAGGCGCAAAUUCCUUUGCCAUACACACCAAGGCUGAUCAUGCUUGGAAAUACUCUAUUAUAUUCCUCAAAAUGGAUGGUGUCGAUCGAGGGGAGAGUGCUCUGUGUUUUGGACAGUGAGUCCAACUUUGCUGCUGCCCUUUCUGUGCUCUUCAGCACGUUCAAUGUUUUUAACAUAGAAUACCAGGAGUUGGCCUCUGCAACCUUGGGGCUGAUACAGAGGUAAGCAUUGAACAUUCAUUGAUCCAACACUUACAUUUAGCAUUUGUUAGUUACAUUGCAAUGAUAUUUCUUAUUGUUAUUUUUUUCAAUGCCUCAACUGAUUUAAUAUAUUCUAUGUUGGGUUGUGCAGGUUCCUGGUUUGAGUAAACCCUGAAGGAACCAAAUGCACAGCGAAAGCAAGAGUGAGCCGCAAGACCGUAAAGGUCAUUCAGAGGAAGCCAUUGCCAAUUAACCCACAUGUUAGACACUUUCUCGCAGACCUGAAGGAGUUCGAGUGUAAAAACAGACACACCUGAUGAACACAAACUUUGUCAGUUGUCAUCUGCCUUUUUACCCAGCGAGUAAUAGUAAUUGUAAUAGUAGUAGUGAUAGUAAUAGUAAUAGUAGUAGUCAUAGUAGUAGUGAUAGUAAUAGUAGUAGUAAUAGUAGUAGUGAUAGUAAUAGUCAUAGUAGUAGUAAUAGUAGUAGUGAUAGUAAUAGUAGUAGUAAUAGUAGUAGUAAUAGUGAUAGUAAUAGUCAUAGUAGUAGUAAUAGUAGUAGUCAUAGUAGUAGUGAUAGUAAUAGUAGUAGUCAUAGUAAUAGUAGUAGUGAUAGUAAUAUUGAUAGUAGUAGUGAUAGUCAUAGUAAUAGUAGUAGUGAUAGUAAUAGUAGUAGUCAUAGUAAUAGUAGUAGUGAUAGUAGUAGUGAUAGUAAUAGUAGUAGUGAUAGUAGUAGUCAUGGUAAUAGUAGUAGUAAUAGUAGUGGUUAUAGUAGUAGUCAUGGUAAUAGUAGUAGUCAUAGUAAUAGUAGUAGUGAUAGUAAUAGUAGUAGUCAUAGUGAUAGUAAUAGUGAUAGUAGUAGUGAUAGUAGUAGUAGUAGUAAUAGUAGUAGUAGUAGUGAUAAUAAUAGUAGUAGUCAUGGUAAUAGUAGUAGUAAUAGUGAUAGUGAUAGUAGUAGUCAUGGUAAUAGUAGUAGUAAUAGGGAUAGUAGUAGUAAUAGGGAUAGUAGUAGUAAUAGUAGUAGUGAUAGUAAUAGUAGUAGUGAUAAUAGUAGUCAUGGUAAUAGUAGUAGUGAUUGUAAUAGUAGUAGUGAUAGUAGUAGUAGCAGUAGUUGUAGUAGUCGUAGUGAUAGUAAUAGUAGUGAUAGUAGUAGUAAUAGUAGUAGUCAUAGUAGUAGUCGUCAUAGUAGUAGUGAUAGUAGUAGUAAUAGUAGUCAUAGUAAUAGUAGUAGUGAUAGUAGUAGUCAUAGUAACGGUAAUAGUAGUAGUAAUAGUAGUCAUAGUAUUAGUCAUAGUAAUAGCAAUCUCUAUCUUUCUAUGUCCAUGUUUGUCCUAGUUGACGUAUCAGAGCUAAGGAGGAUCAGUUUCAAAGAUUGGGGUGAUAAUCUGCACGCCACCGAGAUUUAUUCGAGACUUAUUUGCGUCUCUCAUUUUCUCAGAAAUCCUUCCAUGUGGCUUGGGUCAGCAAAUGAUCUGCUUGCGCCAUCCCGGAGCCUGUGUUGGCUUGUGGUAGCGUGCUUCUCUGGCUCCAGUCUAGCCCUGCUCGCUCCUCUCUAUCCAUCCUUCUCUCUCAGCCCCUUUCUCUCUCGAUCUCUCUCUUGUUUCUCUCUCAAAGACAGGCAGGCAAGCAGUUAUUGUUAUAGUUUUUUGUAAAAAAUGUUCCCUGUUCAACUGUUCUUUUCCUAUUUUUCAUUGAUCUGUUUAGAUUUUAUUUUUUUCUUACAUAAUCCUGUAUUUUCAAGAAUUACCUUGUUACGUUCCCCAGUUUCUGUGUUGUAGUUUGUGUUUCAAGUAAUGGCUUCCUGAAGUUCUCCAAGCAGCUGAUUGGUCGGCCCCAUUGCUGAUUGGAGAGCUGACCCGCCCCCUCGUCAGGACGCAGCUGUCUCCAAUUAACAACCCCACCUAAAGCUAUAUAAGCCAGUGUGCUGUUGCUCAGAGGAGGAGACACACAGAUGAUGACAGAGAGAUAUUUGCUGGGAGACACAGAUAAUGGCUGAGAGUUAG
rnacentral:lncRNA from 1 species